UCGGCGCGCCCGUGGACGAGGACGAGGACGAGGAGCUGCCGCCCGGCGCGGUCGUCGAGGAGUGCGCCAUAUGCUACAAGGAGUACCUGGUCGGCGGAGCAACGUCCGUGAAGCUGGCGUGCAGCCACACGUUCCACCGCAAGUGCCUGGACCGCUGGACGGCCGUGAACCGGACGUGCCCCUACUGCCGGGCGCCGGUGCCGGUGGAGCAAGACUACUGGGACGACGAGGAUGCUUGCGACGACGAGGAGUCGGAGUCUGGUGACAUCCCUAGCGAGGAGGGCGACGACGAGGAGUCGGAGUCUGAUGACAUCCCCAGCGAGGAGGGCGACGACGAGGAGUCCGAGUAUGAUGACAUCCCCAGCGAGGAGGGCGAUGACUGGGAGUCGGAGUAUGAAGACGUCCCCAACGAGGAGGAUCACGGCUCCUCGCCGGCGUCCGACGGCAGUAGCCAGGAAGUCACCGCGGCCUCUCCGGAGUUUGUUAGUUCUGUCAGGGAUCUGUCCCUGAGCUGUCUAAGAUUAGAUUAGAUUAGAUUAGAUUAGGAAGUGUUAGUCCGGCUAGGAUCUGGAUAGUUUGAUUAGAUUCAGUUGAUGGUUUAUUGGGUAUAUAUAUACCCACGUUAGCUUCCUGUAAUCAGAUUGGAACAAGAAAGCUUAGUUAUAUUUC
rnacentral:misc_RNA from 1 species